GCCUUUUUCAGAGACCCAUGUGCCUCUAGUG
rnacentral:piRNA from 1 species